AGCGAACGCUGGCGGCAGGCUUAACACAUGCAAGUCGAACGGGCUUCUUCGGAAGUCAGUGGCAGACGGGUGAGUAACACGUGGGAACGUGCCCUUCGAUUCGGAAUAACUCAGGGAAACUUGAGCUAAUAACGGAUACGCCCUUUUGGGGAAAGGUUUACUGCCGAAGGAUCGGCCCGCGUCUGAUUAGCUUGUUGGUGGGGUAACGGCCUACCAAGGCGACGAUCAGUAGCUGGUCUGAGAGGAUGAUCAGCCACACUGGGACUGAGACACGGCCCAGACUCCUACGGGAGGCAGCAGUGGGUAAUAUUGGACAAUGGGCGCAAGCCUGAUCCAGCCAUGCCGCGUGAGUGAUGAAGGCCUUAGGGUUGUAAAGCUCUUUUGUCCGAGACGAUAAUGACGGUACCGGAAGAAUAAGCCCCGGCUAACUUCGUG
rnacentral:rRNA from 1 species